rnacentral:rRNA from 1 species
CAGUAGCCUCGGUAAUACGUAGGGUCCGAGCGUUGUCCGGAAUUACUGGGCGUAAAGAGCUCGUAGGUGGUUUGUCGCGUUGUUCGUGAAAACUCACAACUCAAUUGUGGGCGUGCGGGCGAUACGGGCAGACUGGAGUACUGCAGGGGAGACUGGAAUUCCUGGUGUAGCGGUGGAAUGCGCAGAUAUCAGGAGGAACACCGGUGGCGAAGGCGGGUCUCUGGGCAGUAACUGACGCUGAGGAGCGAAAGCGUGGGGAGCGAACAGGAUUAGAUACCCCCGUAGUCCCUGUCUCUUAUAC